AUUGUUGGUAGUGAUGGAGUCUUGCUGUGUGGCCCAGGCUUGUGUCAAACUCCUGGCUUCAAGCAAUCGCGCUAUUGCACUCCAGCCUGGGUGACAGAGCGAGACUCUGUCUCAGAAAAAGAAAGAAAGGAAAAAACACACAGUAAUAAUAAUAGCUAACACUUGUUAUCAUCAUUGCUGUGUGUUUUCUAGGGGUAAUUGUCUGCAUUUCCUUUUAGGCAGGAAGUUAUGUUCGUGAUGAUGCAGUCCCCAAUUUAAUCCAGCUAAUAACUAAUAGUGUGGAGAUGCAUGCCUAUACUGUCCAGCGCCUGUACAAAGCAAUUCUUGGUGAUUAUUCUCAACAACCUUUGGUACAGGUGGCUGCAUGGUGUAUAGGUGAAUAUGGUGAUCUUCUUGUAUCUGGCCAGUGUGAAGAGGAAGAGCCUAUUCAGGUAACAGAGGAUGAAGUGUUGGAUAUUUUAGAAAGUGUCCUAAUCUCUAAUAUGUCCACCUCUGUGACACGAGGUUAUGCCCUCACUGCCAUUAUGAAGCUUUCCACUCGA
rnacentral:sRNA from 1 species